rnacentral:pre_miRNA from 1 species
CUAGUACUCCCUCCGUUCCGAAUUACUCGUCGCAGAAAUGAAUGUAUCUAGAUGUAUUUUAGUUCUAGAUACAUUCAUUUCUGCGACGAGUAAUUUGGAACGGAGGGAGUACAAG